rnacentral:rRNA from 1 species
CGAGGCGCAUCAUGAUCUAGCAAUAGAUUGAUGGCGACCGGCGCACGGGUGAGUAACACGUAUCCAACCUUCCGUUAACUCGGGGAUAGCCUUUCGAAAGAAAGAUUAAUACCGGAUAGUAUAGCAUUACGUCUUGGUUUUGUUAUUAAAGAAUUUCGGUUAUCGAUGGGGAUGCGUUCCAUUAGUUUGUUGGCGGGGUAACGGCCCACCAAGACUUCGAUGGAUAGGGGUUCUGAGAGGAAGGUCCCCCACAUUGGAACUGAGACACGGUCCAAACUCCUACGGGAGGCAGCAGUGAGGAAUAUUGGUCAAUGGACGAGAGUCUGAACCAGCCAAGUAGCGUGAAGGAUGAAGGCUCUAUGGGUUGUAAACUUCUUUUAUAUGGGAAUAAAGUGUUCCACGUGUGGUUUUUUGUAUGUACCGUAUGAAUAAGGAUCGGCUAACUCCGUGCCAGCAGCCGCGGUAAUACGGAGGAUCCGAGCGUUAUCCGGAUUUAUUGGGUUUAAAGGGAGCGUAGGCGGAUACUUAAGUCAGUUGUGAAAGUUUGCGGCUCAACCGUAAAAUUGCAGUUGAUACUGGCUGUCUUGAGUGCAGUAGAGGUAAGGCGGAAUUCGUGGU